GCGCUCCACACGAGUGCCUGACUGCGCUGCAGGCAGAAGGACCCAGUCUCAGUGUAAAAGCUAGGUUGGAGCAAGGUGCUCUACACAAGUGCCUGACUGCGCUGCAGGCAGAAGGACCCAGUCCCAAACAGUGAGCUAAAUUGCUUCUUCAUAUCCUUGCUUCUGCACACCCCUUUCCUGCCGAGACCCAGCACUAGGCACAGCCGUGCCAGAGUCCCGAUCCUGCACCUUCUGCCAGUAGCAACUACACAGGUAUGGCGUCUCAGUGGGAUCCUACAGUAGUAAUGUCUCCAGACUCAGAGACACAGGCCUCCACCUCAGCACAGUCAGUGGCUCCAUUCCCCUCACAUAGACAGGCCAAGACAGGCCAGGAUAGGACAGGUACACUCACCUCAGAAAAAGCUGCUGUUUUGUGGGUUGCUACAGCACAAGACAUAAAACUAGACAUUGACUCACUGACCAGGGGGAAACGGUCUCAGACAUCUGGCCACAAAACAAAUAGAACAUGAUUAAUGCGCGAGGAUGGCGUGUUAUAUGGUGUCUCAGGGUGAGGAAGGAUCUAUACUUCUACUAAGACUAAGUAUCUUAAUAAAAAAUUCAGCCCGCGA